rnacentral:rRNA from 1 species
CCUACGGGAGGCAGCAGUGGGGAACAUUGGACAAUGGGGGCAACCCUGAUCCAGCCAUGCCGCGUGUGUGAAGAAGGCCCUCGGGUUGUAAAGCACUUUCAGUGAGGAAGAACGCCUGGUGGUUAAUACCCAUCAGGAAAGACAUCACUCACAGAAGAAGCACCGGCUAACUCCGUGCCAGCAGCCGCGGUAAUACGGAGGGUGCGAGCGUUAAUCGGAAUUACUGGGCGUAAAGCGCGCGUAGGUGGCUUGAUAAGCCGGUUGUGAAAGCCCCGGGCUCAACCUGGGAACGGCAUCCGGAACUGUCAAGCUAGAGUGCAGGAGAGGAAGGUAGAAUUCCCGGUGUAGCGGUGAAAUGCGUAGAGAUCGGGAGGAAUACCAGUGGCGAAGGCGGCCUUCUGGACUGACACUGACACUGAGGUGCGAAAGCGUGGGUAGCAAACAGGAUUAGAUACCCUUGUAGUC